rnacentral:ncRNA from 20 species
UCAGAUAAUUAUUGAUGAUGUAUAUUUGACGCCGGAAAUGAAUGUGGGGAAACCGGGUGAGAUUCCCGGGCAGUUCCCGCUACUGUGAGACCUCAAUGAAGAGGUGAGUCAGAAUGCCUGCAUUCAUCGGUACCAUCGGU